rnacentral:rRNA from 1 species
GAUGAACGCUGGCGGCGUGCCUAAUACAUGCAAGUCGAGCGAACAGACGAGGAGCUUGCUCCUCUGACGUUAGCGGCGGACGGGUGAGUAACACGUGGAUAACCUACCUAUAAGACUGGGAUAACUUCGGGAAACCGGUGCUAAUACCGGAUAAUAUAUUCAACCGCAGGGUUCAAUAGUGCAUGACGGUUUUGCUGUCACUUAUAGAUGGAUUCGCGCCGCAUUAGCUAGUUGGUAAGGUAACGGCUUACCAAGGCAACGAUGCGUAGCCGACCUGAGAGGGUGAUCGGCCACACUGGAACUGAGACACGGUCCAGACUCCUACGGGAGGCAGCAGUAGGGAAUCUUCCGCAAUGGGCGAAAGCUUGACGGAGCAACGCCGCGUGAGUGAUGAAGGUCUUCGGAUCGUAAAACUCUGUUAUUAGGGAAGAACAAAUGUGUAAGUAACCAUGCACGUCUUGACGGUACCUAAUCAGAAAGCCACGGCUAACUACGUG